AUCCUCACUUUUUCAGCAUAUACAGUAAAAUUAGAAUGAUAUAGUGAAGAUUAGCAUGUUCCCCUGCUGAAGAAUAACAUGCUAAUUCAUGAAGUGUAACAUAUUUUU